rnacentral:rRNA from 1 species
GUGCCAGCCGCCGCGGUAAUACCGGUGGCUCGAGUGGUGGCCGCUAUUAUUGGGUCUAAAGGGUCCGUAGCCGGCCUGAUAAGUUACCUGGGAAAUCCGGUGGCCUAACCAUCGGGCGGCCAGGUAAUACUAUCAGGCUCGGGACUAGGAGAGACCAGAGGUACUCAUGAGGUAGGAGUGAAAUCCUGUAAUCUUAUGAGGACCACCAGUGGUGAAGACGUCUGGUUAGAAUAGGUCCGACGGUGAGGGACGAAGGCUGGGGGCGCAAACCGGAUUAGAUACCCGGGUAGUCCCAGCAGUAAACGAUGCCAGCUAUGUGUUGCUGGAACCAUGGGUUCCAGCAGUGCCGAAGGGAAGCCGUGAAGCUGGCCACCUGGGAAGUACGGUCGCAAGGCUGAAACUUAAAGGAAUUGGCGGGGGAGUACCACAACCGGUGGAGCCUGCGGUUUAAUUGGAUACAACGCCGGGAAUCUUACCGGAGGGGACAGCAGUAUGAAGGCCAGGCUAAAGACCUUGCCAGAUCAGCUGAGAGGAGGUGCAUGGCCGUCG